rnacentral:rRNA from 1 species
UACGAAGGGGGCUAGCGUUGUUCGGAAUUACUGGGCGUAAAGCGAACGUAGGCGGUGUUCCAUGUCAGAGGUGAAAGCCUGGGGCUCAACUCCAGAAUUGCCUUUGAAACGGGGACGCUUGAGUCCGAGAGAGGAUGGCGGAAUUCCUAGUGUAGAGGUGAAAUUCGUAGAUAUUAGGAAGAACACCGGUGGCGAAGGCGGCCAUCUGGCUCGGUACUGACGCUCAGGUUCGAAAGCGUGGGGAGCAAACAGGG